AAGACACUAGUAAAACGCGGCUACUACAUCGCCUUGUCAAGACGAAAUUGCGGGUUCAAACCCCGCGUGUCUU
rnacentral:tRNA from 1 species